AUACGGAGGGUGCAAGCGUUAUCCGGAUUUACUGGGUUUAAAGGGUACGCAGGCGGUAAUUUAAGUCAGUGGUGAAAGCCUACAGCUCAACUGUAGAACUGCCAUUGAAACUGAAUUACUUGAGUAUGGUAGAGGUAGGCGGAAUACAACAUGUAGCGGUGAAAUGCAUAGAUAUGUUGUAGAACACCGAUUGCGAAGGCAGCUUACUAAACCAUUACUGACGCUCAUGUACGAAAGCGUGUGGAGCGAACAGGAUUAGAUACCCUAGUAGUCC
rnacentral:rRNA from 1 species